CUGGUUGAACCUUAUGAAACCUUUACCAUAACGCUUGCCCACUUUCAGUGCACUUACUCCAUGCAAAUGAAUCCAAUUCAGAAAUGGCUCGAAAAGCUAUAGAAGAAUAUAUAUAGGAGAUCAUCCGGGUGGACAGGGCGACAAGAAAUUCCAAGAAUUGUGCGCGUCAAUUGAUUUACUCAGCUGUGCGGCUGAGAGCCGAGCUGUGAGCCGUCCCGCCGGUUGAUAACUCUGAGAUUUGUUAUAUUUGCUUCAUCAUCGCGCCACAAACGAGGCAGUUGAAGCCGCGCUCGUUGUGUUGGAGGAGGGAGAGCUGGACACGAUGGAGUGGUGGAGCGAAGCGAUCUUCAUCAUCAUCAUCAACUCCAUCGUGGCGAGCUCAGACCGCCGCACACAUGUGCGCACAUUAAAAAGCAAGUUUCUCAGGUGUUUAAAAGCGUUUAAAAAGAAAACAGACCCGACGGCAGCGGCAGAGGGUGAGCAGAAAAAGGGGGACCCAAGAUCCCAACGAGACAACAAUAAACGCAGGCCGCAGUUGAAGACCAAAAGAAGAGUUAAAAAUACUCCAACUCGUACUGGUACUAUGCCAAGAGCCAGUUAAAGCCAUGAUCAUGAUCUCGCGAGCCAUGGAAACCGCGGGCGGAUUGGACAGACAGUUGGCGGCGACGCCAAUCUACAAUAGCAUGGUUUCAAUGGAACUUGAAGUAACAUUUAAAGAAAGUUCAGUCUAUAAGGUAUAAGCCCUUUUUCAGGCUUAGUACUUAUACCCGCUACUUGUAGAUGACCAAAAAUCGAUCAUUCUUUAAUAAAUCACCCUAAAAUUAAGGUAUUUAAUAGUAAUAUGUAUGUAUAUGAUUUUAAAAAUAAAAAACCCUACAAAACUA